rnacentral:rRNA from 1 species
GCAAGUCGAGCGCGCCCUUCGGGGUGAGCGGCGGACGGGUGAGUAACGCGUGGGAAUAUGCCCUUCUCUAAGGAAUAGCCUCUGGAAACGGAGAGUAAUACCUUAUACGCCCUUUGGGGGAAAGAUUUAUCGGAGAAGGAUUAGCCCGCGUUAGAUUAGGUAGUUGGUGGGGUAAAAGCCUACCAAGGCGACGAUCGGUAGCCGAACUGAGAGGUUGAUC